rnacentral:rRNA from 1 species
UGGGGAAUUGUUCGCAAUGGGCGCAAGCCUGACGACGCAACGCCGCGUGGAGGAUGAAGGUCUUCGGAUCGUAAACUCCUGUUGCCCGGGACGAAUAGCUUCGACCUAACACGUCGGAGUAUGACGGUACCGGGUGAGGAAGCCCCGGCUAACUCUGUGCCAGCAGCCGCGGUAAUACAGAGGGGGCAAGCGUUGUUCGGAAUUACUGGGCGUAAAGGGCGCGUAGGCGGCCUGUUAAGUCGAACGUGAAAUCCCUGGGCUCAACCCAGGAACUGCGUCCGAUACUGGCUGGCUUGAAUCCGGGAGAGGGAUGCGGAAUUCCAGGUGUAGCGGUGAAAUGCGUAGAUAUCUGGAGGAACACCGGUGGCGAAGGCGGCAUCCUGGACCGGUAUUGACGCUGAGGCGCGAAAGCCAGGGGAGCAAACGGGAUUAGAUACCCUAGUAGUCCCUGAGCGGGCUGGCAAGGCGCAU